AGUUCAUGGUCAGACGCUCAGACUGACGGCGACAGCGACGGCGGCCUGUGCUGUGCUCCGGGCUCCGUGCUGCGCUCACUGACUCCGAGCACUGAGACUACCAUUGGUACCCCGAGUACUUGUGCUGCUUCCCGUUUGACAUCCAGCAACAAAGGCUGUGGAGACGGGGAGCGCCUCCUAGUCGCAGACCGCGCCGCCACCGGCGCCCUGCUCAGCGUGCUACCAGCGACGUGUUGCGGACAGGAAUCCACAACAGCCGACUUCUGCA